AUGAUGGACACUUAGUCCAGCAACAUGUCAGCUGAAGGAAAGGGUGGUACAACAUGAAGUCCCUCUCUGCAAAGGCCAGCACCUUGCUCUUAGAUUUCCCAGCCCUCAGCAAGAUGAGUCAGGUUCAAACCAUCCAAGAGCAGCUCAGAGGCACCACACAAUGGCUGGCCAUAUGGAGCCUGGUACAGGGCCGACUUCCAUUAGACCCCUCCUCUUCCCUCAAGCCACGUUGUGGCCUCUCUCAAGUCAAGACCUCUCUCCCAGC